rnacentral:lncRNA from 1 species
CCCGGCCUUCGGUCGCUUAUUUUUGGGCAAGGCUGUGCCCACGGCCUAUUUUUGUCACACGGAGGACCCUCGCAAAGUCUCGCGCCAUUCCGAGUCCGGCGGACGAACUUGGCCAGCCCCACCCCCCAAGGUUAUAGCCCACCCGUUUUUUUGGCCUUUUUCCGCUGGGGGGUUUUGGCGCCCCUGCCGUCGGUCGUUUAUUUUUGGGCGCGGCUGUGCCCGUGGCCUAUUUUUGGCAUACGGAGGCCCCUCGCAAAGUCUCGAGCCAUUCCG